CCUACGGGAGGCAGCAGUGAGGAAUAUUGGACAAUGGGCGCAAGCCUGAUCCAGCCAUGCCGCGUGCAGGAAGACGGUCCUAUGGAUUGUAAACUGCUUUUAUACAGGAAGAAACACCUCUACGUGUAGAGACUUGACGGUACUGUAUGAAUAAGCAUCGGCUAACUCCGUGCCAGCAGCCGCGGUAAUACGGAGGAUGCAAGCGUUAUCCGGAAUCAUUGGGUUUAAAGGGUCCGUAGGCGGUUUAAUAAGUCAGUGGUGAAAGCCCAUCGCUCAACGAUGGAACGGCCAUUGAUACUGUUAAACUUGAAUUAUUAGGAAGUAACUAGAAUAUGUAGUGUAGCGGUGAAAUGCUUAGAGAUUACAUGGAAUACCAAUUGCGAAGGCAGGUUACUACUAAUAUAUUGACGCUGAUGGACGAAAGCGUGGGGAGCGAACAGGAUUAGAUACCCUGGUAGUCCACGCCGUAAACGAUGGAUACUAGCUGUUCGGAGCAAUCUGAGUGGCUAAGCGAAAAGUGAUAAGUAUCCCACCUGGGGAGUACGUUCGCAAGAAGAGAACGUACGAAGAAAGUUAGUACGGACGUGAGAGAGCCGACGGACGACGACGAGGGAGGAGGAG
rnacentral:rRNA from 1 species